GAGGCCCCGCCCCCCCCUCCUCCCGUGGGGCUGUAGGGAUGGAGGCCUGUCUGGGGCCAAAGCACAUGUAUUUCUACUACUCAAUGAUAAAGGAGAAGAUAUUUUCCAUGAAAAAUCAACACAUCAUGUCCAGGGAGAGCUGGGAUCCGACCUUGUACCUUAUGGGAAACACUUCUGGCCUGGAUGAAAGAAGAAGGAAGGCAGGGCCAAAAUGAAGGCGCGAGGGACAGAGGUGACAGAACCCCGGUUCUGAGGAUUUGUAAUUGUCCUUAACUUGCAAAAACUGAUUCUUCUUGCCUAUCUUCUGGGCCUUGUGUAAGAACAUCCUGCCAAAAAAUGUUAGUGUGAAUGACCUUCA